CUAACCAGGAUUCCCUCAGUAACUGCGAGUGAAGCGGGAAAAGCUCAGACUGAAAAUCUUCGGAAUUGUAGUCUGGAGAAGUAUGGUCAGCCGAUGAUGAUGAGUGAAGUCUUCUGGAAAGGAGCGCCUUGGAGGGUGAUAGCCCCGUUCAUACUUAUCAUUAGAAGCGUACGACCUGCUUUCUACGAGUCGUGUUGUUUGGGACUGCAGCACUAAGUGGGUGGUAAAUUCCAUCUAAAGCUAAAUAUUGGUGGGAGACCGAUAGCGAACAAGUACCGUGAGGGAAAGAUGCAAAGAACUUUGAAAAGAGAGUUAAAUAGUACCUGAAAUUGCUGAAAUGGAACCGAUGGGAAGCAGUGUCGGUGGCGGGUAUUUAUACCUGUCACAAGCCAGGCUUCUUUUCUAGUGCGGGAAAGGCUGAUAAACUAGUUUAGGUUAUCUACGCCGUCGUGCUGGCGAAGGACUCUGACGAAAUGCUUCUCAUCACCCCGUCUUGAAACACGGACCAAGGAGUCUAACAUGUGUGCGAGUGCUCGGGGUCAACCCCCCAGCGCGAAAUAAACGUAAAGGGGAAUUUAUUCCCUUAGGUAGGAUCCUUAGGUGCACUAUCGACCGACCAUGAUCCUCCGGGAGAAAGGUUUGAGUGUGAGCAUACAUGUUGGGACCCGAAAGAUGGUGAACUAUGCUUGAGUAGGGCGAAGCCAGGGGAAACUCUGGUGGAGGUCCGCAGCGAUUCUAACGUGCAAAUUGAUCGUCGAACUUGGGUAUAGGGGCGAAAGACUAAUCGAACCAUCUAGUAGCUGGUUCCUCCCGAAAUUUCCCUUAGGAUAGCUGCAACCGAACAGUUUUAUCAGGUAAAGCGAAUGAUUAGAGGCAUCAGGGGUGGAAUAUCCUUGACCUAUUCUCAAACUUUAAAUGGGUAAGAACCCUGGGUUGCUUAAUUGAACCCGGUGGUCGAAUGACGGUUGCUAGUGGGCCAAUCUGGGUAAGCUAGAUUGGCGAUGCGGGAUGAUCCGAACGUCAAGUUAAAGUGCCAAAGUAUCCGCUAACCUAGAUCCCACAAAAGGUGUUGGUUCAUUAAGACAGCAGGACGGUGGCCAUGGAA
rnacentral:rRNA from 1 species